UUACAUAUAGCAGCACAUAAACUAAAAUUGUAAUGCUACAGAAAGAUUAGCACAGCCCCUGUGCAAGGAUGACAAGGAUGUACGUAACUCUGGGCCUCAGCUU